CAAUAGCGUAUAUUAAAGUUGUUGCGGUUAAAAAGCUCGUAGUUGGAUUUCUGCUGAGAACGACCGGUCCGCCCUCUGGGUGUGUAUCUGGCUCUUUCUUGGCAUCUUCUUGGUGAACGUUGCUGCACUUGACUGUGUGGAGCGCUACCCAGGACUUUUACUUUGAGGAAAUUAGAGUGUUUCAAGCAGGCAUACGCCUUGAAUACAUUAGCAUGGAAUAAUAAGAUAGGACCUCGGUUCUAUUUUGUUGGUUUCUAGAGCUGAGGUAAUGAUUAAUAGGGAUAGUUGGGGGCAUUAGUAUUUAAUUGUCAGAGGUGAAAUUCUUGGAUUUAUGAAAGACUAACAUCUGCGAAAGCAUUUGCCAAGGAUGUUUUCAUUAA
rnacentral:rRNA from 1 species